rnacentral:misc_RNA from 1 species
AAACAAUGGUGUGUUUACCCACAAAGUUUACUGCAGUGAAUAAGAUCUUGGCAACAUUGUACCUUUUUUAGUAGAAAGUCAUUUAAUUGGAUAAAGGAUUUUAUAAUUAAUUUAUUUAGAAAUUAUAAGCUAGAGAAUGUAACAGCCCAAGCCCACUUGGCUCAAAAUCGCUAACCCAAGUUGCAUCCUGUAGCUGGGCUUAGACUAUUGAAACUACUAUACCUUUUCUUAAUUAUUUUCCAAAGACAUGGGAUGGCGUGUUACAGCAUCAUGCAAUCUAUAUCAUCUGAUGUUAGUGACUAUAUUUUCUUACAUUUUAUUUCUGUUAACCUACAAUUCAUCUUGACUUUCAUCUUAUUUUCUCUAGGAUUGUGGUUUCAACCGUAUGCA